AGAGUUUGAUCCUGGCUCAGGAUGAACGCUAGCUACAGGCUUAACACAUGCAAGUCGAGGGGCAGCAUCGCGAUAGCUUGCUAUUGCGGAUGGCGACCGGCGCACGGGUGAGUAACGCGUAUCCAACCUUCCCGCAACUGGGGAAUAACCUUGCGAAAGUAAGACUAAUACCCCAUGGUCUCCACGGAUGGCAUCUGAAAUGGAGUAAAGGUUUCGGCCGGUUGCGGAUGGGGAUGCGUCCGAUUAGCUUGACGGCGGGGUAACGGCCCACCGUGGCAUCGAUCGGUAGGGGUUCUGAGAGGAAGGUCCCCCACAUUGGAACUGACACACGGUCCAAACUCCUACGGGAGGCAGCAGUGAGGAAUAUUGGUCAAUGGGCGGAAGCCUGAACCAGCCAAGUAGCGUGAAGGACGACUGCCCUAUGGGUUGUAAACUUCUUUUAUGCGGGGAUAAAGUUCGCCACGUGUGGCGUUUUGCAGGUACCGCAUGAAUAAGGACCGGCUAAUUCCGUGCCAGCAGCCGCGGUAAUACGGAAGGUCCAGGCGUUAUCCGGAUUCAUUGGGUUUAAAGGGAGCGUACGCCGCCUUUUAAGCGUGUUGUGAAAUGUACGGGCUCAACCCCUGCACUGCAGCGCGACCUGGAGGGCUUGAGUACACACAAAGUAGGCGGAAUUCAUGGUGUACCGGUGACAUGCUUAGAUAUCAUGAAGGACCCCGGAUUGGAAAGCCAGCUUACUGGAGUGUAACUGGACGCUGAAGCUCGAAAGCGCGGGUAUCGAACAGGAUUAGAUACGCUGGUAGUCCGCGCGGUAAACGAUGGAUGCCCGCUGUUUGCCACUUUGGUAAGCGGCCAAGCGAAAGCGUUAAGCAUCCCACCUGGGGAGUACGCCGGCAACGGUGAAACUCAAAGGAAUUGACGGGGGCCCGCAGCAAGCGGAGGAACAUGUGGUUUAAUUCGAUGAUACGCGAGGAACCUUACCCGGGCUUGAAUUGCAGGAGAACGAUCCAGAGAUGGUGAGGCCCUUCGGGGCUCCUGUGAAGGUGCUGCAUGGUUGUCGUCAGCUCGUGCCGUGAGGUGUCGGCUUAAGUGCCAUAACGAGCGCAACCCCUCUCCGUAGUUGCCAUCGGGUGAAGCCGGGCACUCUGCGGAUACUGCCACCGUAAGGUGUGAGGAAGGUGGGGAUGACGUCAAAUCAGCACGGCCCUUACGUCCGGGGCUACACACGUGUUACAAUGGGGCAUACAGAAAGCAGGCGGCCGGCAACGUCCGUCUAAUCAUCAAAGUGUCCCUCAGUUCGGACUGGGGUCUGCAACCCGACCCCACGAAGCUGGAUUCGGUGAUGAUCGCGCAUCGACCAU
rnacentral:rRNA from 1 species